CCUACGGGUGGCAGCAGUGAGGAAUAUUGGUCAAUGGACGAGAGUCUGAACCAGCCAAGUAGCGUGAAGGAUGACUGCCCUAUGGGUUGUAAACUUCUUUUAUAAAGGAAUAAAACGAGGCACGUGUGCCUUUUUGCAUGUACUUUAUGAAUUAGGAUCGGCUAACUCCGUGCCAGCAGCCGCGGUAAUAAGGAGGAUCCGGGCGUUAUCCGGAUUUUUUGGGUUUUAAAGGGGCGUAGAGGGGUUGUUAAGUCAGUUGGGAAAGUGUGCGGCUCAACCGUAGAACUGCAGUUGAUACUGGCAGUCUUGAGUACAGUUGAGGUAGGCGGAAUGCGUGGUGUAGCGGUGAAAUGCUUAGAUAUCACGAAGAACCCCGAUUGCGAAGGCAGCUUACUGAACUGUGACUAACAUUGAUGCACGAAAGUGUGGGUAUCGAACAGGAUUAGAUACCCCAGUAGUC
rnacentral:rRNA from 1 species